rnacentral:rRNA from 1 species
GCAAGUCGAACGAGAAGCUGAAGCUUGCUUCAGUGGAGAGUGGCGCACGGGUGAGUAACGCGUGGUUAACGUGCCUUUUGGUUUGGGAUAACUCGGGGAAACCUGGGCUAAUACCAAAUAAUGCUGCAGGUCCUUCGGGGCUUGUCGAGAAAGGGGGGCAACUCCCACCAUUAGAUCGAACCGCGUCCCAUCAGCUUGUUGGUGAGGUAAUGGCUCACCAAGGCAUCGACGGGUAGCUGGUCUGAGAGGAUGAUC